UACGGGGGGGGCAAGCGUUGUUCGGAAUUACUGGGCGUAAAGGGCUCGUAGGCGGCCAACUAAGUCAGACGUGAAAUCCCUCGGCUUAACCGGGGAACUGCGUCUGAUACUGGAUGGCUUGAGUUUGGGAGAGGGAUGCGGAAUUCCAGGUGUAGCGGUGAAAUGCGUAGAUAUCUGGAGGAACACCGGUGGCGAAGGCGGCAUCCUGGACCAAUACUGACACUGAGGAGCGAAAGCCAGGGGAGCAAACGGG
rnacentral:rRNA from 1 species